GUUGAAACGCGACUGCAGCUGAGUUCCCGGUGGAGAUUUCCCCGUUUGGAAACCUUUUUUUCCCCUUCCACUUGUCGUGACUUCGCCUCAUUUAAGCCGCGACGAUGAAGACUUCAGCCAGACUUUAACGCUUUUAUCCCGCUGAACACGUCACACCCGGAGGAUUGAGAGAUAAUUUCCCACAUCUGCUGGAGGGUAGCGUCAGCCCUUUAUCCACAAUGUCCUCCAGAGGUAAAAAUGACCUGUGCCGAAUAUGUGGUGGAGCUCUCCAGGGAAACCAGCGGCGGUGGCUGUUUGGGGGCCAGAAUAAGAAGACCAGCCACCUUCAGACCCAAACAGAGUCCCUGAGAGGAGGAAGCCGAUCUCAGUCCUUGCAGAGCAGCCCCUGGGGCAGCACAUUAUCUCUGGGUUCCUCAGGAUCGCUCUCCAAGUCCCAGUUAUCAGUGAACUCGCCAUCCAAAAGCGUGGAUGUGCUCGCGGUGUUGACCCACAUCCUGGGGCAGUCUGUACCACGGGGCAGCAGGCAGGGGGAGUUUGUUUGCGGCAAAUGCGUGAGCGCCCUCGAGCGGGUGUUCAAGUUUGACUCGGUCAUAGCAAGGGUGAGGGUGCUUUCGUCUGAGCGGCUUCAGAAGCUGACGCAGGAGAGGGAUAAGAUCAGGCAGUGGGUGCGCCACAACUACCAGCAGAGACACCUGCAGAAUGUUCCAAACAGGGGUAGCACCAGCGAAGAGGAUGGCGAGGCAGAGAAGGAGGGCUACAGGGAGAUGCUCAAAGAGAAUAUGGCGCUCUCUGAGUAUGAGUGCUGGUCUGAGAAAUGGGACACGUGUCCAUACUUUAUAAGAACGGGUAAAAGAUGCAGAAAGGGCAAAGGAUGCGAAGGAUGCGAUUCCUUGCGGGUGUCGGACUCAGAUUACGAGUCAGUUUGUGGGGUCCCUCGUCAUUUACCUUUCCAACCUUUUUCUCCAC